GACGAACGCUGGCGGCGUGCUUAACACAUGCCAGUCGAACGGAAAGGCCCUGCUUUUGUGGGGUGCUCGAGUGGCGAACGGGUGAGUAACACGUGAGUAACCUGCCCUUGACUUUGGGAUAACUUCAGGAAACUGGGGCUAAUACCGGAUAGGAGCUCCUGCUGCAUGGUGGGGGUUGGAAAGUUUCGGCGGUUGGGGAUGGACUCGCGGCUUAUCAGCUUGUUGGUGGGGUAGUGGCUUACCAAGGCUUUGACGGGUAGCCGGCCUGAGAGGGUGACCGGCCACAUUGGGACUGAGAUACGGCCCAGACUCCUACGGGAGGCAGCAGUGGGGAAUAUUGCACAAUGGGCGGAAGCCUGAUGCAGCAACGCCGCGUGCGGGAAGACGGCCUUCGGGUUGUAAACCGCUUUCGCCUGUGACGAAGCGUGAGUGACGGUAAUGGGUAAAGAAGCACCGGCUAACUACGUG
rnacentral:rRNA from 1 species